UACGUAGGGUGCGAGCGUAAUCGGAAUUACUGGGCGUAAAGCGUGCGCAGGCGGUUGUGCAAGACAGAUGUGAAAUCCCCGGGCUCAACCUGGGAACUGCAUUUGUGACUGCAUCGCUGGAGUGCGGCAGAGGGGGAUGGAAUUCCGCGUGUAGCAGUGAAAUGCGUAGAUAUGCGGAGGAACCCCAGAGGCGAAGGCGGCGUCCUGGCUCGCAACUGACCGCUCAGACACGACAGCAUGGGGAGCG
rnacentral:rRNA from 1 species